rnacentral:misc_RNA from 1 species
AUUAUUAUUAUUAUUAUUAUUAUGCUAAAAUUGUUCCAUCUAUUACCGCUAAUUUUAAGAGGAAAGGAAUAGUUAAUUUCUAUAAAUACCUACAUAAUCUGGUAUUUUCUGAGGCUUCAAUUAAAAAGAACAAAAAGCUUCUUUCUUAUACUUCUCUUCACUUUGUAUUUGCGGUUUGUUAGGUUGGCUUACAGUUUCACUAAAAAGUGGGACAUUCAUGAGCUUACUUUCUCCUUUAAAAUUAAAGUAAAUGACUCUUCUUAUAUAAUUAAAACCUCAAUAAUCCUACAUAAAAUUUAAGACUUUUGUUUAUCAGUUAAAAAUGUUCAAAAAUAUACAUAUGAUACACCCUUAAUAAUCUUCUAGAUGCAGGAACUUAAUCCUUCAAUUGUGGCAAUUAUGUUUGCACUCCAAUCAAAAUAAAUCAAAAUAAUUGACUUCUACACCAUAAUCUCCAUUAUCUUUGAUGUGCUUUCUUUGUUCUGGAGGAAAAAGAAGUUAGAGACUAGAGAGAAAAAAGAAAGCAUGUUAAAGAUGAUGGAUUCCAAUUGAGCAAGAUUAGUAUGAAAUUUACUUUGAAUCAUAAGUACGCGAAUAUGCAUGCAAUUCAUGCAAAUAAUUGACUUUCAUAACUCCAGAGAUAUGCUAGCCUCAUUCAAAAGAUAGUCUCCAGCUCCAUGCUACUUUUCAAAGAAAACUAGUGAAACAAGCUUUAUGCCUUCUCACUUGUACGAUCUUAGUUUGAGAUUCUAUACAUUUUAAGUUAAAGGCGAGUUCAACUGGAAGGGAUGACAGAGAAGGAACAAGAAAUUGAGGAGUUAUUAUUCAUUUUGUUCUUUAAUUUGAACAUGUUCAUCUGUGAAUGGUUCUAUUUAAUAAUUUAUUAAGUUUCUUAUUUGGAAAAUUUUCUAUUCAGGAAAAGCAGAAAGUUAAGUUAUUAUUAUCUACAGACAUGUUCUCUUCCUAUUUAUACUUGUCAAUUAUACUAGGACAAGAAACUGUAAUUGAACUUUUACAUGAUUACUACAAUCAUGACUUGAUUUUGGUCAUUCACAAUUCAGCCACACAAUCCUCCUUAUAUCACAAGAAUACUCGAUACACUGCUUAAUUGUUAACAUAGAAUUGUGAAUUGGGUUGCAUGAGAUGCAUGUCAUUUAGGUUAAUUAAAUACUAAACUUGCCUAAUGCCCAACCCUACCACUUCCGCUGCGCCUUCACAUAGUACGUAGGGGGAGGCUUAAUUGGAACCCUAUUACAUUUAAUUUAAAAUGCAGUUUAAAUUUUAAAAUUUUAGUAGUAGAAUGCAAUUUAAAUAGGAAAACUUUAAAUAAAAAGAAACAUAUUCUCAUUAAAUAAACUUUGUGGAUAAAG